GCUGUUAAGGGUUCGUAGUUGAAUUGUGGGUGUCGAUGCGGGGUCCAAUCCUGUUCCCACGGUGCGGACACUCCCGAUUGACACUCGAGAACGUCAGAAACUAAUAUCACGGGAACGGUUUUUCCCGCCAGAUUCGCGAGCAAUGCACGCAGGCGGGCGCCCGUGUUUCAUUACUGUGCUAAAGAAGUGCGACCAAAGCAGUCCAUUCCGACAUGAAUUAGAAAGCAUGGGAUAACAAGCAGCAGCCUACGGGUCACCGUUUCGGCUUUUGUUGGUUUUAAAGGUCUGUGGGAGAUUCGGGUCAGCAUGACAGGCGUUGUUUGGGGUGGAACAAGCCCCCGCGCUUCCAACAGUCGUCGCCUCGGCGGCGGUCUGUCGGCUUGCUGUGCUCGGAAUGAAGGAGGGUUGCUCGGGGGGAACGUACUUGAGCGUGAGAGGUGAAAUUCUUAGACCGCUCAAAGACGAACUACAGCGAGGCAUUUUCCAAGGAUACCUUCAUCAAUCAAGAACCAAAGUG
rnacentral:rRNA from 1 species